rnacentral:rRNA from 1 species
GAUGAACGCUGGCGGCGUGCCUAAUACAUGCAAGUCGAGCGAACGGACGAGAAGCUUGCUUCUCUGAUGUUAGCGGCGGACGGGUGAGUAACACGUGGAUAACCUACCUAUAAGACUGGGAUAACUUCGGGAAACCGUAGCUAAUACCGGAUAAUAUUUUGAACCGCAUGGUUCAAAAGUGAAAGACGGUCUUGCUGUCACUUAUAGAUGGAUCCGCGCUGCAUUAGCUAGUUGGUAAGGUAACGGCUUACCAAGGCAACGAUGCAUAGCCGACCUGAGAGGGUGAUCGGCCACACUGGAACUGAGACACGGUCCAGACUCCUACGGGAGGCAGCAGUAGGGAAUCUUCCGCAAUGGGCGAAAGCCUGACGGAGCAACGCCGCGUGAGUGAUGACGGUCUUCGGAUCGUAAAACUCUGUUAUUAGGGAAGAACAUAUGUGUAAGUAACUGUGCACAUCUUGACGGUACCUAAUCAGAAAGCAACGGCUAACUACGUG